GCCGGAGUGGCGGAAUUGGUAGACGCAAGGGACUUAAAAUCCCUCGGGCUCAAUAAGCCCAUGCCGGUUCGAGUCCGGCCUCCGGCA
rnacentral:tRNA from 1 species